rnacentral:snoRNA from 1 species
AAGACUAUACUUUCAGGGGUCAUUUCCAUAGUUUGUUACUAGAGAAGUUUCCCUGAGCAUGUGGAGCACUGAAAGAU